rnacentral:rRNA from 1 species
CACGUAGGGCGCAAGCGUUGUCCGGAAUUAUUGGGCGUAAAGAGCUCGUAGGCGGUCUGUUGCGUCCGCUGUGAAAACUCGGGGCUUAACCCCGAGCCUGCAGUGGAUACGGGCAGACUAGAGGUAGGUAGGGGAGAAUGGAAUUCCUGGUGUAGCGGUGAAAUGCGCAGAUAUCAGGAGGAACACCGAUGGCGAAGGCAGGUCUCUGGGCCACUACUGACGCUGAGAAGCGAAAGCAUGGGGAGCG